GCGCGCCAGAUGGCGGGGCUACCCCUCUCCUGACGCCCAGCGGCUCCUGAGCCGGUCACACACACUAAGCAGGUCAAGGUGUGUUCCUGCCGGACAAUGGUGCAGCUGUUCACUCUCCAGGAGCAGGGGGCGUGGCUUCUCAUCGGCUUGCUACAAGGGUUUCUGCUCGUUCAGGAAGUGCUGGCCCUUGGCCCUGGGUUCCUCUGCCGCUGUUCCCCCCACCCUCCAAGGGGUACUCAUCACCUAUCCAGGCGCAUCACGUUGCUCUGCAGACUCGGGGCGGGGAACUGGUGUAGAGAUGCUGACGCACUGUGAGGUGAGGCUGCUGUGAAUAACACUCUCUCAUCUCUGAUCCAGAGACCCAUGUCUUCUGUCACAUUCCCGAAACGUCUGUGCUCGUGGAAGGAGACCCCUCAAAACAACAGAAAGAAAACCAAAGAACCUCUUCUGUGCCUGGGCAGUCCUCAGCCACCUCACGAGGGGCUCAGGGAUUUCUCUCUUUCUGUGGCAGCCAAAUUCGUGAUGAAGCAAUACCCUCUGGCCAAGACAGAGACACUUUCAGAGGCACAAACAGUCAGCAGCUGGCUCAGAAGGACCCGGGGUAUUGGAUCUGGACACCGAAAUAGAGGCGUUGUCAUUAGGGAACCUGCCCUGUCACCCAGCUAGCAAGAGGCAGAGGUGGGUCUGUUUGCAGCAUCUGUGGUUGAAAUGCCACGAGAUGUGGUCUUCCCAGGCUCCAGGAAGUGCAAGAAGCCUGGCCAGGGAGUUCUGGAGAAACGAAACGCAUGCUGAAGUAGAUAGCAAGCCUGCAGCCAUUUCCCUGAGGGUUUCCAGGAGUUAAGGCUGAAGACUGACUCUUGAGUCUCAGAAAACCUGCUUCUUCACAGCCUGAUGUGGCAAACAAACCCACUUCUGGCCACUGCGUUGCCGUCUUCAACUUUUCUUGCCAUGGCUAACUUGGUGUGCGUUCCUGCCAGCCUGGUCCCCCAGUCCCUCUGUCCAUACCUGGGCGGCAUGUGUCCCCAGCUCAGCUGCUCCACACUUUGUCUAACUGCCUCUCGGCCGCCUGCUCUGCAUUCCUGCCCUGAGACGAGACCCUGUGUGGAUCUUGCCCCCGGUGAAUUCCGGGCAUGCAACUCAGGGCUUGGCAUAUACCUCUACUGGAAGAGCAUGUGUUGAAGGAAGUCAUGACUGGCUGCUGUGAAUGUCAUCACUUCGCAGGGUGAUUUAAACUUGUCUACAGCCUCCAUUUUUGGGGACGUGCUGUCAAGGGGCCAAUAGCCCCAUGACCCGAGGUUCUAGAUCUAGACCCCGGAUCUCUGCUGUUGGAUUUGCUGUUAAUGAAUGAAUAAAUGACCUGCCGUCCAUGAUCAGAGAAGCCCUGCUCUGCGUCUGCACUGAGCAGGGCGGGCACGGCCGAGAACACCGAGACGCUCCUGGGUCGUCCUCACACGGGAGAUCCAUGCUCACCGCAUGCCCCUUGGAGCUUGCUGUCAGAAUCAAUACGCUAGGGAUGGAUUUGCAAAGUCCUGUCACCGACCGUAUAAUGAGAACAAACCUUCAGAAAAUGAGCAUUCCUUUAGAAAAGUGGCACUCAGGAGAGAGAGAGAGAGCCGGGCCAGACAAGGACAGGGAGACCUGGGUGUUUAUCAUGCGACCAGAGUCGGCUGGGGAAAUCCCACAGGGCCCAGCGUUGUGGUGUAUCAUGUGAAUUUCAUGAGAGAGCGAAAAGAGCACCGACCUGGGAGUCCGAUGACCUGGCCAAGUCCUCAACCCUGCAAGCCUUAAUUUACUGAUGAGGGUCAUCGGUCCUUGGGGCCUCAUGGAUUUCGAGAUAAGAUUGCCUCAAACCUCCACUUGGACAGCUGGGAUGUCCGAAGUCCCCGCUGAGUUUAGGCAUUGCUCUGGGCCUCCACUCCCGGUUCUCUCCCCUUCUCCCUUCCGAGACUGCCGCCUCCCUCUCCCCAGACCUGGACCCCGAACUCAGCGUCUGGUUGCUCCCCUGUGCAUUCCCCUCUUGCAAGGAUCUGUAGGCCACGAGGUGGUGGGCAUGUGGGGUCCGCAAUUGAGUCCCUUUUCUGCCGGCCCCACUCUCAGAAGGACUGAGGCGGGAUCUGUGAACAGGGGCAGCUUCACACCAAUGCCAUUUUUACCUCUGCCCACCGCCCAUGCGACAGCUGAGACCCUGAAACUCCCAGGCGCCCUGCAGCUCCUCACGGCUCUUUCUGUAUUGCAUACUGCAUGGGGCACCGAGUCCUUAAUCAAUGUGCUCAUGUCUUCCAGAGAGUGAGGCUAAGCAGUCAGCCCCCAGACUGCAGGCCUAAAAGACACACCUGGUGCCCACCACCGUCUCGUGCAGAGCACGCUUCCCUUUUCCUCCUCUGACCACAGAGGCCAUGCAGGCCCCUCUGGCUUCCCCUUGUCCAAGGGGGAAUCUCCACUGGUUUUGGUGAUGGUUCUGUUCUCCCAACGUGCUAGAUGAAUCCCACGGCGGACGCCUCUCCAGGUCAAGCUGGGCUUCCACGGCAGAGGAACGAGUGACUCUCUGGCUCAGGCAUCAGCAAACCUGAUUCUCGAGCAAGUUCCAGAAUGGACCAGCUGUGUGACCUGAAGGCCAGUCUCUGACUUUCCUGAGCAUCAGUUUCCACUUAAAAUGGCAAUGAAGUCAUGAUUUCCAUUUCUUCCACAGCUUGUAUGAGGCUCAAAUGAGCAAACAUAUGUGAAAGAACACACUUUAUUUCACAAGCACUCUCCAUAUAAGGUGUUACAAAAACACGAAAUACACAGAGGGAGCUUAUCUCUAAAUUUUCAGAUUUGGGAUUCUCCCCUUCCUCCCCCCACCAAUCUCUGCCUGGAAUGGAGGUGUGUUGGAGAUGAGCUCAGUUUUUGCCAUUUUCAAUGAGGGAGACUUGGAAUAAAAUCUCAAAAUUGCUCACAUAAGAAGGAAACUGAAAACAUUUCUCUGUAGUUAAUGCUCAGUUAGAUUCUUAUCUUAAAGCAUUUAAAUGUGGUGCCUGAGUUGGGGUGGGUGUUUUGAAAUGUUUAAAUGACAAGCACUCGGCAUUGAGCAUCUAUGGGGUUUGACAUGGUGAGGAAGUCUGUCCAUUCUCAGCCAGGCUGUCUGUAUGUCUGUCCACUGGACAGUGUCGGUGCUGGCGGCAUCAAAGUUAGCCACUGCAGCCAAUCCAUGUGACUUAGUGGGGUAAUCGGCAGGAGGUUUGACUGAGUGUUUAGCUGAGGUGGGGCGCCCAUCCUGCAUCUCGUUGUUUUUCUCAUCUCAAAGGCAUGCUACUUGCUGCCCUGAGACUUCUACAAGUCCGUCCCCUGACUCUCAGCGCUGUGUGCAGCAUGGUGGUUCUGCCCCGUCUGUGCUGUUUCAGCAGUGACAUAUUCUGUUCUCUCUCCUCUGAGGAUAGGAAAUCGAGAUCUGGUUUAGACAUUACAACUGAGAAGUCCUUUUGAUGUCCAAGUAGAUAGUUAUAUAUAAUAUUAGUUAUCUCUUCCGUGUAGCGAAUGAUCUUUAAACUUAUUGGCUUACCACAACAAAUUUUCAGGAUCUCACAUUUCCUGGUGUGGCUUAGCUGGGUCCUCUGGCUCAGGGUUUGG